UAGGGAAUCUUCCGCAAUGGGCGAAAGCCUGACGGAGCAAUGCCGCGUGAGUGAAGAAGGCCUUCGGGUCGUAAAACUCUGUUAUAAGAGAAGAACAAAUUGUAGAGUAACUGCUACAGUCUUGACGGUAUCUUAUCAGAAAGCCACGGCUAACUACAUGCCAGCAGCCGCGGUAAUACGUAGGUGGCAAGCGUUGUCCGGAUUUAUUGGGCGUAAAGGGAGCGCAGGUGGUUUCUUAAGUCUGAUGUGAAAGCCCACGGCUUAACCGUGGAGGGUCAUUGGAAACUGGGAAACUUGAGUACAGAAGAUGAAUGUGGAACUCCAUGUGUAGCGGUGGAAUGCGUAGAUAUAUGGAAGAACACCAGUGGCGAAGGCGACAUUCUGGUCUGUUACUGACACUGAGGCUCGAAAGCGUGGGGAGCAAACAGG
rnacentral:rRNA from 1 species